rnacentral:rRNA from 1 species
AUGAACGCUGGCGGCGUGCCUAACACAUGCAAGUCGAACGGACUUACAUUGAAGCCUAGCGAUAUGUAAGUUAGUGGCGGACGGGUGAGUAACGCGUGGGUAACCUGCCUUGUACUGGGGGACAACAGUUGGAAACGACUGCUAAUACCGCAUAAGCGCACAGCUUCGCAUGAAGCAGUGUGAAAAACUCCGGUGGUACAAGAUGGACCCGCGUCUGAUUAGCUGGUUGGUGAGGUAACGGCCCACCAAGGCGACGAUCAGUAGCCGGCCUGAGAGGGUGAACGGCCACAUUGGGACUGAGACACGGCCCAAACUCCUACGGGAGGCAGCAGUGGGGAAUAUUGCACAAUGGGGGAAACCCUGAUGCAGCAACGCCGCGUGAGUGAAGAAGUAUUUCGGUAUGUAAAGCUCUAUCAGCAGGAAAGAAAAUGACGGUACCUGACUAAGAAGCCCCGGCUAACUACGUGCCAGCAGCCGCGGUAAUACGUAGGGGGCAAGCGUUAUCCGGAUUUACUGGGUGUAAAGGGAGCGUAGACGGUUUUGCAAGUCUGAAGUGAAAGCCCGGGGCUUAACCCCGGGACUGCUUUGGAAACUGUAGGACUAGAGUGCAGGAGAGGUAAGUGGAAUUCCUAGUGUAGCGGUGAAAUGCGUAGAGAUUGGGAGGAACACCAGUGGCGAAGGCGGCUUACUGGACUGUAACUGACGUUGAGGCUCGAAAGCGUGGGGAGCAAACAGGAUUAGAUACCCUGGUAGUCCACGCCGUAAACGAUGGUCACUAAGUGUCGGGGGUCAAACCCCGGUGCUGCAGUCAACGCAAUAAGUGACCCGCCUGAGUAGUACGUUCGCAAGAAUGAAACUCAAAGGAAUUGACGGGGGCCCGCACAAGCGGUGGAUUAUGUGGUUUAAUUCGAAGCAACGCGAAGAACCUUACCAGGGUUUGACAUCCUGCUAACGAAGUAGAGAUACAUUAGGUGCCCUUCGGGGAAAGCAGAGACAGGUGGUGCAUGGUUGUCGUCAGCUCGUGUCGUGAGAUGUUGGGUUAAGUCCCGCAACGAGCGCAACCCUUAUCUUUAGUAGCCAGCAGUAAGAUGGGCACUCUAGAGAGACUGCCGGGGAUAACCCGGAGGAAGGUGGGGAUGACGUCAAAUCAUCAUGCCCCUUAUGACCAGGGCUACACACGUGCUACAAUGGCGUAAACAAAGAGAAGCGAAGUCGUGAGGCAGAGCGAAUCUCAAAAAUAACGUCUCAGUUCGGAUUGUAGUCUGCAACUCGACUACAUGAAGCUGGAAUCGCUAGUAAUCGCAGAUCAGAAUGCUGCGGUGAAUACGUUCCCGGGUCUUGUACACACCGCCCGUCACACCAUGGGAGUCGGAAAUGCCCGAAGUCGGUGACCUAACCGAAAGGAAGGAGCCGCCGAAGGCAGGUCUGAUAACUGGGGUG